AUGAGGAGCGUCUCCACAGCUCUGACGACCUGUGUCACCGCCGGCGUCUGCAUGGUGUCCGGUCCUGCUUCAACACUGAGGAAACGCUGUGAUUUAUAUCGCUGGUGGUCUGCGUGGCCCAGGGUUCCGGUCCGGUCCGGUCCGGCUCAUCCCUCCGCGGUGCUGCUCCGCUCCGGUGCUGCUGUGUCACCUGGCCGACACGGCUGUGUUUUCAGAACCCAGCUUUUAUGUCUCACUCCAGGGCUCAGCCACAAAAUACAGUCUCAUAAAAGUGGAAAUUUUACCGUGACGAGCAACAGAAAACAUCAGCUGCAGCCGAUUCACAGUGAACCAGUCUGA
rnacentral:lncRNA from 1 species